UACAGAGGGUGCAAGCGUUAAUCGGAAUUACUGGGCGUAAAGCGUGCGUAGACGGUUACAUAAGUCGGGUGUGAAAGCCCCGGGCUCAACCUGGGAAUUGCAUUCGAGACUGCGUAGCUAGGGUGCGGAAGAGGGAAGCGGAAUUCCCGGUGUAGCGGUGAAAUGCGUAGAGAUCGGGAGGAACACCAGAGGCGAAGGCGGCUCGCUGGACAGUUCCUGACGCUGAGGCACGAAGGUCAGGGGAGCAAACGGG
rnacentral:rRNA from 1 species